rnacentral:rRNA from 1 species
UACGGAGGGGACUAGCGUUGUUCGGAAUUACUGGGCGUAAAGGGCGCGUAGGCGGCCAUUCAAGUGACGGGUGAAAGCCCUCGGCUUAACCGAGGAACUGCCUGUCAGACUGGAUGGCUUGAGACCGGGAGAGGUGAGUGGAAUUCCCAGUGUAGCGGUGAAAUGCGUAGAUAUUGGGAGGAACACCAGUGGCGAAGGCGGCUCACUGGACCGGAACUGACGCUGAGGUGCGAAAGCGUGGGGAGCAAACAGG